GAUGCAAAUGAUGCCAAUAUCGCGAUCAAAGCAUGAUAUAUGUGAUUUCAACUUUUAAACACUGAUGCAUC